GACGGAGGGGGCAAGCGUUGUUCGGAAUUAUUGGGCGUAAAGGGCUCGUAGGCGGAUCCGCCAGUCUGACGUGAAAUCUCCACCGCUCACCGGGGAGGGGCCGUUGGAUACUACGGAUCUGGAGUUCGGCAGAGGACCAUGGAAUUUCGGGUGUAGCGGUGGAAUGCGUAGAUAUCCGAAAGAACACCCGUGGCGAAGGCGGCUCUCUGGAACGCAACUGACGCUGAGGCGCGAAAGCCAGGGGAGCAAACGGG
rnacentral:rRNA from 1 species